GCCACCUCCACUCAGACCCCGCCCCCGGCCCAUUCACUCGGAAUCUCUGGGGCGGAGCUUUCUACCGGCUCCCUGGGCUGAGCCCGCCCGUCUGCUGGCGGGAAGCCAGAGGUCCGGGCUGAGGGCCCUGUGCCACAGGCUCUCAGCACGAUGCCUUCCUGCGCGAGCCCAAACUUGUGUGCCUCAGCUUCCUUGUCGGCUUCGAGGGGAUAAAGAUGCCUGUCCUGGGCUGCCCUGGGGUUGGGGGUGGUGCCCCUGCAUCCCCAAGUGGACGGUGAGCGAGAGGGCAGGAGCCACAGCUUCCUCGGUGCUGCGUGCAGAAGGGGAAGGGCCGUCCGUGGGAACCGGGACCCAGGCGGAAAGGAAGGCCAGGUGUCUCCACUUAUCAUAAGAGUCUCCAGCGUACAGUUCUCGGUACAGUUCUCCAGAGCAGUUGGAGAAACUUUUCCUUCACCUUCAGCACCCAGAACCACCUCAUCUUUGCUCAGCUAGAUCCGCUGGGGCAUAUUCAAACCACCAGACUGAUCCCACCUAAAAUGUCAAUGUCACACUCCAUUCAGAGGCGCAGGACCAGAGUGAGACUGCUCUUCACCUCUCGGCUCCGCUCCAGCCCUCCACAUCCCCUCUUCCGUCACUGCCUUCUGACUCACUCCUCCGUGGGGCUGGAGGGAGAAGGAACAGGGGCAGAGCCGCUCGGGGG
ensembl:lncRNA